GAAUCUUCCGCAAUGGACGAAGGUCUGACGGAGCAACGCCGCGUGAGUGACGAAGGUUUUCGGAUCGUAAAACUCUGUUGAGAGGGAAGAACAAGUACCAAUUAACUACUGGUACCUUGACGGUACCCUACCAGACAGCCACGGCUAACUACGUGCCCGCCGCCGCGGUAAUACGUAGGUGGCAAGCGUUGUCCGGAAUUAUUGGGCGUAAAGCGCGCGCAGGCGGUCCCUUAAGUCUGAUGUGAAAGCCCACGGCUCAACCGUGGAGGGUCAUUGGAAACUGGGGGACUUGAGUGCAGAAGAGGAAAGUGGAAUUCCAUGUGUAGCGGUGAAAUGCGUAGAGAUGUGGAGGAACACCAGUGGCGAAGGCGACUUUCUGGUCUGUAACUGACGCUGAGGCGCGAAAGCGUGGGGAGCAAACA
rnacentral:rRNA from 1 species